UACGAAGGGGCUAGCGUUGCUCGGAAUCACUGGGCGUAAAGGUGCGUAGGCGGUCUUUAAGUCAGGGUGAAUCCUGGAGCUCAACUCCAGAACUGCCUUGAUACUGAAGAUCUUGAGUUCGGAGAGGUGAGUGGAACUGCGAGUGUAGAGGUGAAAUUCGUAGAUAUUCGCAAGAACACCAGUGGCGAAGGCGGCUCACUGGCCGAUACUGACGCUGAGGCACGAAAGCGUGGGAGCAAACAGG
rnacentral:rRNA from 1 species